GAAUGUGAGAGCGAUCUGGCUGCAACAUCUGUCACCCUAUUGAUCUCCAGGGUUGAUUGGGCUGAUCUGGCUGGCUAGGUGGGUGUCUCCUUCCUCCCUCACCGCUCCAUGUGCGUCCCUCCCAAAGCUGUGUGCUAGGUUGAAGAGGAUGGCCUUUCCUGAAUAGAGACAGAGAUGGACUGGCUUUAGAUAGAGGGUAUAGGUACCUGCACUCCCCUGCUAGAACCUUCAAACAAGUUCUUCAAGGAUACAAAGCUAGAAAAAACAGAUGUGCACUUCAUGAUCAUAUCUAUAUUGAAUGAAAAUUUGGCUUUCAUAUAU
ensembl:misc_RNA 7SK 7SK RNA